rnacentral:rRNA from 1 species
AUUGAACGCUGGCGGCAGGCCUAACACAUGCAAGUCGAGCGAGCGGCGGACGGGUGCGUAAUGUAUGGGGACUGCCCGAUAUAGGGGGAUAACUACUGGAAACGGUAUCUAAUACCGCAUACUAUCGUAUACCCCCUAUGGGAGUAGCUAGUAGGUGAGGUAAUGGCUCACCUAGGCGACGAUCCCUAGCUGGUCUGAGAGGAUGAUCAGCCACACUGGGACUGAGACACGGACCAGACUCCUACGGAGGCAGCAGUGGGGAAUAUUGCACAAUGGGCGCAAGCCUGAUGCAGCCAUGCCGCGUGUAUGAAGAAGGCCCUAGGGUUGUAAAGUACUUUCAGUCGGGAGGCGUUACCGACAGAAGAAGCACCGGCUAACUCCGUGCCAGCAGCCGCGGUAAUAC